UACGGAGGGGGCUAGCGUUGUUCGGAAUUACUGGGCGUAAAGGGCGCGUAGGCGGCCCUGUAAGUCAGGCGUGAAAGCCCCGGGCUCAACCUGGGAAUUGCGCUUGGUACUGCGGGGCUAGAGUGCGGGAGAGGUGAGUGGAAUUCCCAGUGUAGAGGUGAAAUUCGUAGAUAUUGGGAAGAACACCAGUGGCGAAGGCGACUCACUGGACCGCUACUGACGCUGAGGCGCGAAAGCGUGGGGAGCAAACAGG
rnacentral:rRNA from 1 species